CCUACGGGGGGCUGCAGUGGGGAAUAUUGGACAAUGGGCGAAAGCCUGAUCCAGCCAUGCCGCGUGUGUGAAGAAGGCCUUCGGGUUGUAAAGCACUUUCAGUGGGGAAGAAAGCCUUGGGGCUAAUACCCUCGAGGAAGGACAUCACCCACAGAAGAAGCACCGGCUAACUCCGUGCCAGCAGCCGCGGUAAUACGGAGGGUGCGAGCGUUAAUCGGAAUUACUGGGCGUAAAGCGCGCGUAGGCGGUCUGAUAAGCCGGUUGUGAAAGCCCCGGGCUCAACCUGGGAACGGCAUCCGGAACUGUCAGGCUAGAGUGCAGGAGAGGAAGGUGGAAUUCCCGGUGUAGCGGUGAAAUGCGUAGAGAUCGGGAGGAAUACCAGUGGCGAAGGCGGCCUUCUGGACUGACACUGACGCUGAGGUGCGAAAGCGUGGGUAGCAAACAGGAUUAGAUACCCUGGUAGUC
rnacentral:rRNA from 1 species